UACGAAGGGGGCUAGCGUUGCUCGGAAUCACUGGGCGUAAAGGGUGCGUAGGCGGGUUUUUAAGUCAGAGGUGAAAUCCUGGAGCUCAACUCCAGAACUGCCUUUGAUACUGGGAAUCUUGAGUAUGGAAGAGGUGAGUGGAACUGCGAGUGCAGAGGUGAAAUUCGUAGAUAUUCGCAAGAACACCAGUGGCGAAGGCGGCUCACUGGUCCAUAACUGACGCUGAGGCACGAAAGCGUGGGGAGCAAACAGGG
rnacentral:rRNA from 1 species